UUCUAGAGAAGAAAUGUCUAAUAUUUGGACUGAUCAAAAUCGCUAUGAAGCAUGGUUAGAAGUGGAAAUUUUAGCAUGUGAAGCAUGGAGUGAAUUAGGACAUAUACCGAAAGCUGACGUACAAAAAUUCGUCAAAACGCAAAGGUAAAUGUCGAACGUGCACAAGAAAUUGAACAAGAAACGCGCCAUGAUGUUGUAGCCUUUACUAGACAAGUUUCUGAAACGCUAGGUGAAGAACGUAA
rnacentral:sRNA from 1 species